CUUCCUUUGCUCUGGAAGGUUCUCUUUCUGUCUCUUUGUCUUUUGAUUCUCUCUCUCAGUGCUUUGUGUUUACUCAAGGUAACAGCCAUGCUUUUGUCCUGGUCCACGUGGCAAGAGCUCAUAACAGCACUGACAUGCAACCAAAGAACCUGGAAGAGAAGAAUGGAAAUUUUUUCCACCCCUACAUCUGGCAACUGUGAAAGGGAUCUUCACUGGCUGGACACCACUGGUUCUGGGGCUGCUGCUGCUGCUGAGAGAUCCUGGGGCCUCUGACAAAAGCUGGCAGAAGUGAUUGUUUUACUAUGGUGCAUUUGCAAAACCAUACCCACAAAAGUGCUUCAUCUUCAAGCGAAUUCAUGGAAAGGACUCUGACAAGCGCAGGUUUCUGAUCAUAAAACGGAAUGGGACAAAAUUGGAAACAUCUGUUAGAUUACCAAGGCUUUGACUGGAAUGACAUAUUUGAGAGAGAUGUGCAUAGAAUCAGAUAUGCCUGACAGCUUCAAGGAACACAGGCUGCCUUUUAUGCAGCCAAUAAUGCCCCUUGGAAAAACAGGCUUGUACCUUGCUUACAGGAUUCCUGACAGUCUAAAUAGGGUGGUGACCCUACCACAGUAUACCUGAUGACAUCAUCAGAGACAUUCAAACUGCAAACCAGGAAAAUCAGUCAAAUUGUCCCUGUCUGCCUUCAUUCCAUCUGAAGAUGCUUCAAGCCUGGCAUUUAGAAAUAUUCUUGACUGGCAACUUUCAAGACUCAGGCACUAGGUUUAUAAUUUGCUGCAACCAUUAAUCUUUGUUUUUCUUCUGUUUACCUGAUUGCUUGCACAACAGAGGCCUAAUUUGGGAGCCCACCUGCAGGACUGCUUCCCAAAAUGAGACAACUCUUAAACUGAACUGAUCUAUUCCCAAGACUGAGUCUGGUUCAAAGAGAUUUGGAGCAAUCUGUCAACUUAAUUUCUGGACUGUGAAACUUCUUAUUUGAAGUUUCAAAGACAGUAUUGCAGGGGAGCAGAAUAUGUCUCUUUGUCAUCAGGAUUAUUUUAGGUUGAUUACUUUCAAGAAACUUCAAAUUAAGGAAAAGCUCUUUACCUCUCCCCACCCCUCAGUGGCCUAAAUUUACAUUAUUUGCUCCUUAUAUGCUAGGAAAAGAGCUAUUGCUAGAGAUACCUUUUAUACCUAAGAAAUUUAUCUUCACAACAGGACAAUAUUUACUUUUCAAACAUCUCUCACUUUCCUGUGAAUGGCCAUCCUUCUCUUUCUAUCCCCAGACUCCGGUACCUUUCCUUAGCUCAGGAUGUUCUAUAAGCCUUAAUUACCUGGCUGCCCUUUGGGGCUCAUAUUUUUAUGGGACUCCUAUACAUUCUGCUACUAAUCCAUCUUAUAUCACUUUAAUUAUUGGAUCAGCUAAAGAACCUAGAAGGGAAAAAGAAAACAUUUUUCUGCCCCUACGAAACAGUUUCUAGAAUUAAUUAUUAUUAUUAAUUAGAAUUCUGAAUUAGAUUGUCAUAAGUUGAAAUGCAUAUUGUAAUAUUUAGAGCAAGCACUAAGAAAGUAACUUAAAAAGUACAGCAAAAAGGAAAAAAACCAGAAGAAUUGAAAUGACAUACUAAAACUAUUUAUUCAACACAAACGAAAGAAAGGAGGAGAAUAAGAA